rnacentral:rRNA from 1 species
GACGAACGCUGGCGGCGUGCUUAACACAUGCAAGUCGAACGGCAAGGCCCUGCUUUUGUGGGGUGCUCGAGUGGCGAACGGGUGAGUAACACGUGUGCAACCUGCUCUUGACUUUGGGAUAACUUCACGAAACUGGGGCUACUCUCGGAUAGGAGCUCCUGUUGCAUGGUGGGGGUUGGAACGUUUCGGCGGUUGGGGAUGGAUUCGCGGCUUACCAGCUAGUUGGUGGGGUAGUGGCUUACCAAGGCUUUGACGGGUAGCCGGCCUGUGAGGGGGACCGGCCACAUUGGGACUAAGAUACGGCGCAGACUGCUACGGGGGGCAGCGGUGGGAAGUAUUGCACAGUGAGCGGGAGCCUGAUACAGCGGCGCCGCGGGCGGGAAGACGGCCUGCGGGGUGUGAACCGCUUUCGCCUGUGACGAAGCGGUAGUGACGGUAAUGGAAGAAGAAGCACCGGCUAACUACGUG